rnacentral:rRNA from 1 species
GAUGAACGCUGGCGGCGUGCCUAAUACAUGCAAGUCGAGCGAACAGACCAGGAUCUUGCGCCUCGGACGUUAGCGGCGGGCGUGUGAGUAACACGUGUAUAACCUACCUAUAAGACUGGGAUAACUUCGGGAAACCGGAUCUAAUCCCGUAUAAGAUAUUGAACCGCGUUGGGCGAUGGUGAGAGACGGUUGUGCUGUCACUUAUAGCGGGAUCUCGGCCGCUUGGGGUAGUUGUGAAGUUAACGGGCUACCAAGGGAACGAGGCAUAGCCGAGGUGAGAGGGUGAUAGGCCACAUUGGAACUGGGACGCGGUCCUGACGCCUGCGGGAGGGAGCAGUAGGGAAUGGUACGCAGUGGGCGAGAGCCUGACGGAGCAAGGGGGCGUGAGUGAUGAAGGUCUUGGGAUCGUAAAGAUCUGUUAGUAGGGAAGAACAUAUGUGUAAGUAACUGAGGACAUAGUGACGGUAACUAAUCAGAAAGCAACGGCUAACUACGUG